rnacentral:rRNA from 1 species
UCYGGUUGAUCCUGCCRGACCCGACUGCUAUCAGAGUGAGAUUAAGCCAUGCGAGUCAACGUAGCAAUACGUGGCACACGGCUCAGUAACACGUAGUCAACAUAACCAAAGGACGUGGAUAAACUCGGGAAACUGAGGCUAAACCGCGAUAGAUCAAGAUACCUGGAAUGGUUUUUGAUCAAAAUCUAUAUGGCCUUUGGAUUGGACUGCGUCCGAUCAGGCUGUUGGUGAGGUAAUGGCCCACCAAACCUAAAACCGGUACGGGCUCUGAGAGGAGAAGCCCGGAGAUGGGCACUGAGACAAGGGCCCAGGCCCUAUGGGGCGCAGCAGGCGCGAAAACUCUGCAAUAAGCGAAAGCUUGACAGGGUUAUUCUGAGUGAUUUCCGCUAAGGAAAUCUUUUGGCACCUCUAAAAAUGGUGCAGAAUAAGGGGUGGGCAAGCCUGGUGUCAGCCGCCGCGGUAAUACCAGCACCCCGAGUGGUCGGGACGAUUAUUGGGCCUAAAGCAUCCGUAGCCGGUUCUACAAGUCUUCCGUUAAAUCCACCUGCUUAACAGAUGGGCUGCGGAGGAUACUAUGGAGCUAGGAGGCGGGAGAGGCAAGCGGUACUUAGUGGGUAGGGGUAAAAUCCGUUGAUCCAUUGAAGACCACCAGUGGCGAAGGCGGCUUGCCAGAACGCACUCGACGGUGAGGGAUGAAAGCUGGGGGAGCAAACCGGAUUAGAUACCCGGGUAGUCCCAGCUGUAAACGAUGCAGACUCGGUGAUGAAUAGGCUUCGUGCCUAUUCAGUGCCGCAGGGAAGCCGUUAAGUCUGCCGCCUGGGGAGUACGGUCGCAAGACUGAAACUUAAAGGAAUUGGCGGGGGAGCACCACAAGGGGUGAAGCCUGCGGUUCAAUUGGACUCAACGCCGGY